rnacentral:rRNA from 1 species
GACGAACGCUGGCGGCGUGCUUAACACAUGCCAGUCGAACGGAAAGGCCCGGCUUUUGUGGGGUGCUCGAGUGGCGAACGGGUGAGUAACACGUGAGUAACCUGCCCCUGACUUUGGGAUAACUUCAGGGAACUGGGGCUCAUACCGGAUAGGAGCUCCUGCUGCAUGGUGGUGGUUGGAAAGUGUCGGCGGUUGGGGCUGGACUCGCGGCUUAUCAGCUUGUUGGUGGGGUAGUGGCUUACCAAGGCUUUGACGGGUAGCCGGCCUGGGAGGGUGACCGGCCACAUUGGGACUGCGAUACGGCCCAGACUCCUACGGGAGGCAGCAGUGGGGAAUAUUGCACAAUGGGCGGAAGCCUGAUGCAGCAACGCCGCGUGCGGGAUGACGGCCUACGGGUUGUAAACCGCUUUCGCAUGUGCCGAAGCGUGAGUGACGGUAAUGGGUAAAGAAGCACCGGCUAACUACGUG